ACUAAAGUAGCAGAGCCCGGCCAUGCAACAGGCUUAAAACCUCAAAACGGGUGUUCAAAUCACCCCUUUAGUA
rnacentral:tRNA from 1 species